UACAGAGGGUGCAAGCGUUAUCCGGAAUUAUUGGGCGUAAAGAGCUCGUAGGCGGUUUGUCGCGUCUGCCGUGAAAGUCCGGGGCUCAACUCCGGAUCUGCGGUGGGUACGGGCAGACUAGAGUGAUGUAGGGGAGACUGGAAUUCCUGGUGUAGCGGUGAAAUGCGCAGAUAUCAGGAGGAACACCGAUGGCGAAGGCAGGUCUCUGGGCAUUAACUGACGCUGAGGAGCGAAAGCGUGGGGAGCAAACAGG
rnacentral:rRNA from 1 species